rnacentral:rRNA from 1 species
GCUAACUUCGUGCCAGCAGCCGCGGUAAUACUUAGGGGGCAAGCGUUGUUCGGAGUUACUGGGCGUAAAGGGUGCGUAGGCGGUUUUUUAAGUCUGGUGUGAAAUCUCCCGGCUCAACUGGGAGGGUGCGCCGGAUACUGAGGGGCUUGAGUGUGGGAGAGGAAAGUGGAAUUCCUGGUGUAGCGGUGAAAUGCGUAUAUAUCAGGAGGAACACCUGUGGUGAAAGCGGCUUUCUGGACCAUUACUGACGCUGAGGCACGAAAGCGUGGGGAGCAAACAGGAUUAGAUACCCUGGUAGUCCACGCCCUAAACGAUGCAUGUUUGGUGUGGGCCGUUCAUUUGGUCCGUGCCGNGAACUAACGCGUUAAAUAUGCCCCCUGGGGAGUACAGUC